rnacentral:rRNA from 1 species
CCUACGGGAGGCAGCAGUAGGGAAUCUUUCACAAUGGGCGAAAGCCUGAUCGAGCAACGCCGCGUGCAGGAUGAAGGCCUUCGGGUUGUAAACUGCUUUUAUAAGCGAGAAAUAUGAUGGUAACUUAUGAAUAAGGAUCGGCUAACUACGUGCCAGCAGCCGCGGUCAUACGUAGGAUCCGAGCAUUAUCCGGAGUGACUGGGUGUAAAGAGUUGCGUAGGUGGCAUAAUAAGUAGCUAGUGAAAUCUGGUGGCUCAACCAUUCAGACUAUUAGCUAAACUGUUAAGCUCGAGACCGUUAGGGGUAACUGGAAUUUCUAGUGUAGGAGUGAAAUCCGUAGAUAUUAGAAGGAACACCAAUAGCGUAGGCAGGUUGCUGGGACGGUUCUGACACUAAGGCACGAAAGCGUAGGGAGCAAACGGGAUUAGAUACCCCUGUAGUC